rnacentral:rRNA from 1 species
UACGGAGGGUGCAAGCGUUAUCCGGAUUUACUGGGUUUAAAGGGUGCGUAGGCGGGUUGAUAAGUCAGGGGUGAAACCUCCGAGCUUAACUCGGAAACUGCCUUUGAUACUAUCAGUCAUGAAUUCAGUUGAGGUGGGCGGAAUGUGUCGUGUAGCGGUGAAAUGCUUAGAUAUGACACAGAACACCAAUUGCGAAGGCAGCUCGCUAAACUGACAUUGACGCUGAGGCACGAAAGCGUGGGGAGCAAACAGG